rnacentral:rRNA from 1 species
UUGACAUCCAGAGAAUUUAGCAGAGAUGCUUUAGCGCCUUCGGGAACUCUGAGACAGGUGCUGCAUGGCUGUCGUCAGCUCGUGUUGUGAAAUGUUGGGUUAAGUCCGCAACGAGCGCAACCCUUACCCUUUGUUGCCAGCACGUAAUGGUGGGAACUCAAAGGAGACUGCCGGUGAUAAACCGGAGGAAGGUGGGGAUGACGUCAAGUCAUCAUGGCCCUUACGAGUAGGGCUACACACGUGCUACAAUGGCGCAUACAAAGAGAAGCGACCUCGCGAGAGCAAGCGGACCUCAUAAAGUGCGUCGUAGUCCGGAUUGGAGUCUGCAACUCGACUCCAUGAAGUCGGAAUCGCUAGUAAUCGUAAAUCAGAAUGUUACGGUGAAUACGUUCCCGGGCCUUGUACACACCGCCCGUCACACCAUGGGAGUGGGUUGCAAAAGAAGUAGAUAGCUUAACCUUCGGGAGGGCGUUUACCACUUUGUGAUUCAUGACUGGGGUGAAGUCGUAACAAGGUAAGCGUAGUGCU